rnacentral:tRNA from 1 species
GGCUCUGUGGUGCAAUGGAUAGCGUGUUGAACUUCUAAAUGGAUUGAGGAGGUUAUUCAAAGGUUGAGGGUUCGAGUCCCACCAGAGUCA